CCCGCACAAGCGGUGGAGCAUGUGGUUUAAUUCGAUGCAACGCGAAGAACCUUACCUGGUCUUGACAUCCACAGAACUUAGCAGAGAUGCUUUGGUGCCUUCGGGAACUGUGAGACAGGUGCUGCAUGGCUGUCGUCAGCUCGUGUUGUGAAAUGUUGGGUUAAGUCCCGCAACGAGCGCAACCCUUAUCCUUUGUUGCCAGCGGUCCGGCCGGGAACUCAAAGGAGACUGCCAGUGAUAAACUGGAGGAAGGUGGGGAUGACGUCAAGUCAUCAUGGCCCUUACGACCAGGGCUACACACGUGCUACAAUGGCAUAUACAAAGAGAAGCGACCUCGCGAGAGCAAGCGGACCUCAUAAAGUAUGUCGUAGUCCGGAUUGGAGUCUGCAACU
rnacentral:rRNA from 1 species